rnacentral:lncRNA from 1 species
AAAGGUGUGGUUUAGGGAGAAAUGUAUGGUAGGUAUUUAUAGGAAAAGUUUUGGAAGUUGGAAAGGGAGUGGGUGAGAAAAAAAUAAAUGUGGGUGAAUGUGAGUAAAUGGGUGAAUGAAUGGGGAAGGUAAAAAGUAGGGAGGUGUAACGGUCGUGUCCCCAACGGUUACUAACGUUCACCUAUGCUGAAGCUGUCAC